GCUAGCUUUUGAAUAUUUACGUGAAUUAUUUUAUUAUUUAUUGUCCUUUUUCUAAGUAGCACACUGGGAAAAAGGAGAACAAUUUAUGCAGGAAAUUGGAGUUCCCUGAAGAUCUGGGUAACCCCAUGGAAGUGUACCCCACAAAGGCCGCUCACCCUGGUUUGUGUUAGGGUGAGACAAAGAUCCACAUACAAGUGAGACCCUACAGUGUUCGUCUUUCUCCAUCUGACUUACUUCACUUUGGAGGGAGCGACAGGUUUUGGAGCUUCCAUAAAGGCGAGUGAAGAGGUUACUGUGGAGCUCUGGACAUCCAGGGUGAGGCUGGUGGUUGAAGGAGAAGGAGCUCGGCUGUUGCAGAGGCUGGGAUGGUGCAGCACAGAUACACACACAUAUAAUACAGGGUAGUGCGGACAUGAAUAUUACUUUCUUCGAGGCUGCUUCCCUUCAGACUAAAGACGUUGAAGGCCACGUAUCACUUUCCUUAAGACUCGUCCUCGGGACCCCACCACUGGAGACCGUCCUGAGGCACCGGCUGGACGCUGUCGUGUCACAGUGAUCAUGUCACAGUGAGUUAGAGCCCACCUCUGCUCCACAGAGCCCACCUUCAAGGGGAGGGGGCACCAAAAUCAGACAACAUCACAACCUAAUUUCAAACGCUCAUCCGUAUUAAGAAAUACACCCUAAGGACAGGAGGAAAUGAAAACGCGCUUGUAGGACCCUAUGAUAGGAAACGGGAGAUGCUCCGUGGACAGACAGUACAUCACCUUCGUCAUCAUGUCCAUUCCCGGGGGUCCGUCCAUGCGGCUUUUCGUGCUUCUCGAAGCCCUUCCCUGAUGACCCUAUGCCCCCCUACGGUGCUUGGUGAGGGGGACCACUGAGCCAGCCUGCAGCUCUGAACCUCGUUCUCAGCUUUCCACACCCGUGGAUGAGCUGAGCUUCCUCGUGGAAAAGAGAAGAAAAGGAAGGGACACUUCUCGGCACCAAAUUCCCCCAAAUCCUGGAUCUCCAGGUCUGCAACCUCAGCAAGUACCCUCUGAACUACCCUGACCCCCACGGGCUGAAUGAUGACACAUGGCCCCAGGGAGGGAGGGGCCAGUUGCUAAGUAGACCUUACGUCCUGCGGGGACACAGCCCUGAUGAGUCUUGCCAUCCUUACCCGGUUCCCUCUGGGUCCAGAAACAGUCGUGACAAACAAACCUGCACAUAGCUGAGCCCUGGGCGUCUGCGCUUCUGUUCAUUCCAGAUCCCUUCCUGUUCUAGAAUUCAGAAUCUGAUCAUAAAUCCACCAUCCCUUAUUUGGUCGGACCGGUAGAGCCAUAACAACCCACUUAACUGUUUUUCCCCUGGGGUCCAUUUUUAGGUCAUCCCCAUCCUGUGAUCUGGAUCAGUGUUCUCUACAAUCUCGGGUUUUCCAAGGAAUGACUCGUAAGCAGCAUCUUGGGAAAUCCACCCCCAAUAAUGCCCUCCCAGGAACAGUUACCGUGGGUCCAAAGAGCUGGUUUCUCCUGGGGUCCACAUUUACGUCAGGAUAACACAGGCGUCUCGUCCGUUCUGUGGUGGUGAGAUGUUGUCAGGAAGGGUCGAACACAUACGCUGACCUGUGACACACUGUUUCCUUGGUGGCGUUUCUUCUAGUUAUGAUUUCACGUCCCUAGUGACUCAUCAGCAUCCCAGACAUCUCGUGACAAAAAUCUCAGGCAAUCAAAGAGAAGGAAAGGUUUGUGAUGGACACUGCUGAAUCCUUGACGUAUUAAAGGCUGUCAGCGCUGCCCUGAUGUCC